AGUUGGCCUGCUGCUGCCCUCUCUCCCCACCACCCCGGUCUUUCCUGCCACAUGGUCUUGAAGAAGACGAGAAAACCAGCCUGAGCUGGAAAGCAAACUGGAAGUGUUGUCCCAAUGCAAAAAGACAAGGAGCCGGGUCUCACGAUCCCAGCCUAUGCCAGGGAUUUCAAACAGGACUGAAACUUCUUUGGAGAGCUCAAAUGAAGCGAAAGAAAGAAAAGAAAAGAAAAAGAAAGAAAGAAAGAAAGAGAACAUGACUCAGGCGUACUGGUUCUUUGAAGGCAAUGAUAAGGGUGACACCUGGUGGUUUUGGAUGGAUAUAAGUCAGACCUACAGAUGUGAAUUUUUUUCAGAUGUGACAAAAAUCAUACAUACAUGCUCACACCACC